UGGGUAUUUUCCAUCAUUUCUAUGUGAAUGCAUUGCAGGUAUUUAAUUUACUCUCUUAUUACUCUAUUUAGUUCAUUUCUCUCUGCCCCACACGAUCCUAUAGAAGAAAGAGAGGAAAGAUGAAAUUUUUUACUUUCUGCUGCUAGGCUUGGUUAAUCCAAAUAUUGGAUGUACUUUGAUAAAUAAACAUUCUUUAAUUACUGGAAAUUAGUACACUUAAGAUGAUAAAAAUAAUGUAGCACCUCCACCCUUCCCCUCUUUGUGUGGUUCGAAACAUCAACUAAUGGGGCGCAGGCGGUGUGCUAGUGGAAACAAGAACUUCUACUCUCUGUCUUUUGAAGACUCUACUUUGCAACAAUCCUUAGUCCUUUAUUUGUUUCUAUGGAAAAUAGGCUGUACUCUAUUCUGAUAGAUGCAAUAUUUACCCUUAUAAGUAUUAACAUUCAAUUACUUGCCCUAAUGCCCUAAUCUUUUGACUGUGGGAGGGAAAAAUAAUAUGGUAAAAAUUUAAUAAACAUUUUCGUGAAUAUGUAUUUGUCAAUGGCCAGAUGAAUUAUGUGAGGUUGUGAUUUUGUUUAAUGUUUAUGGCAGAAAAAGUAGUUAUGAGUUUUAUUCUUGCUUUAGAAGGAUGGUCAAUGAGGAAAACUUAGGUAAGUAUAAAUCUCAGCAAGUUACAUAAGGGUCAAAGGAUGUAAUGAUGGUUGAACAGAAAAUUAAGAAAUUGGUGUAAUUGUUUGGUUUUAGAUUCAGAGGAUGCAGCUUUGUAACAAGUGCAUUCAGAAAAUAUCUGACACUAUUAUUGUAAUAAUGGAAACAGUAAAUUGCUCUACUUUCAUGUAGGAAAUUUUUGCAUAAGGAAUUUGUUAUGGUCCCAGCUAACGGAUCUAGUUAUGGGUCGAUGGGUAGUAGGAGGGGUUGGUGUUUGGGUGUUUGGGUUAGGGUGUUUCCUUGGGCAACCUAUGGUGGAAGACAAGAAAAGUCAGACUCGUUAAAGGGAGCCUAAAACCUCAGUCAAGAAGACUUAAAUUGGGUUUUAACAGUCUGCCUUAUUCCAUCAGAUUUGCUGAAUAUAUACAAGUGCAGAAAUAACUACUCCCUACAUACAAGGAGCACUACUUCUAUAUGGAGGAAUAACCUCCCACUAACAACAAGAAAAUAGGGAAAUGGAGGAAUACCCUCCUACAAUGCAGGAAUGUUGAAACAGAAUCAAAACAGAAAGAGAACAACUACUGCUGACUAAUUCAGCAACUCAAUUACUGGUGGCUUGGACUUAGGACCAUGGGUAUAACGGGAAUAUACUUGCAGGGGUUUGGUAACAUUACUUCCCGCCCCCAAUGGAAGCUUGUCCACAAGCUGGAAGUCUGGAAACUUGUCUGUUAUAUGCUGGACCCUUUCCCACGAAGCAUCUGCUGGUGAAGAAUGACUCCAAUGAAUUAAAACCUCUGGAAUUCCUCCUUUGAUACGAUGAUCCAGAACAGCUAAAGGAUGGACAGGAUCCUCCAAAAGAAUGGUAGGUGGUAAUGUUGGAGUGACAGGCUGACCGGCAUGAUAGGGUUUGAGAUAGGAAACAUGGAAAACAGGGUGGAUCUUGGACUCUGCUGGAAGGUCUAGUUUAUAGGCCAUGGUGCCAAGGCAUUCCAGAACCCGAGUCCGUAAAACCUGGCGAACAGCUUGUGAUUAGUUCUUUUUGCAACUGACUGUUGUCUAUAUGCCUUUAAACGCUGCAGAACCAUGUCACCAACUUUAAAUUCCAGUGAACGGUGGGACUGAUCAUAAGUGGCUUUCAUCUUAUUUUGGGCUUGUAACAGAUUUUGGCGAAGUAGGUGCAGCAUGUCAUCCCGUUGGUGCAGAACAGUAUCAACCGCUUCAAUUGAAGAACUGCCAUGCAAGUAAGAUAAUAGUCGAGGAGGUGGUCGACCAUAAACAGUCUCAAAAGGUGUGGAUUUAAGUGAGUUAUGGUAGCUGGUAUUGUAGCAGUAUUCGGCCCAAGACAACCAAUCAAUCCACUUUGAUGGCGAUCAAAUAGUGAAACAGCGGAGAUACAUUUCAACAGUACGGUUCACAACCUUUGUCUGUCUGUUAGAUUGUGGAUGGUAAGAGGAACUGAAACACAGCUUAGUCCCACAUAAACGGAAUAGUUCUUUCCAAAAAGAACUUGUGAAAGUCACAUCCCUGUCACUGACCAUAGUUUCUGGCAUCCCAUGUAAUUUAAAAAUGUUGUCAAAGAAGGUGCGAGCAACACUUACAGCGGUGUACGAGUGAGUGAGAGCCAGAAAAUGUCCGUACUUUGAGAACCGAUCAACGACAACCAUUAAAACAUUCUUUCCGCGUGAAGUGGGAAUGCCCUCUAUGAAGUCAAUGGAGAUAUCAACCCAAAUUUGAGUGGGAACGGGCAAAGGUUGAAGGAGUCCCGCCGGUUGUAGUGUGUCAGUUUUAUGCCGUUGACAUACAUCACAAGAACGCACAAAAUCCCUUACGAAUUGUUUCAUCCCUUGCCAAUAGAAAUCUCUAGUGAUUCUGUAUAAUGUCUUCUGGUAACCUUCAUGACUUUGGUUGUGAAGAGCACUAACAACCAGCUGAAUUGAUGGGGAAUCGGGAGGCAGGUAAACUCUGUUAUUGUAGAAGAGUAACCCAUCCCGAAAAACCCAUUUUGAAGCGACUUGCUGAAUUGCUGGUAAUUGCAGAGAUUUGUUGCUGAAUUGCUGGUGAAUCACUAUCUUCCUUCCGAAUUUCAUCAAACAAACGGAGUUGAGGCAUGGAAACAGCCAUAAGGAUUGAAUCAUCGGCAUUCUGUCGAGAAAGAGCGUCCGCCACCACAUUAGAUUUGCCAGUCCUGUAUUCAACAGUAAAAGAAAAACCCAGGAGCGUGCUAAUCCAAUGUUGUUGAGUUGCUGAGAGAUGGUGCUGCUCAAGCAGAUAUUUCAAUGUGUAAUGAUCGGUCCGAACAAUAAAUUCACGUCCCCACAGAUAGGAAUGCCAAUUCUUUAUUGCCUUCACUAAGCCCAUCAAUUCUCGCUCAUAAGCCGGAAGAUUUUGAUGACGAGCUGCCAAGGAACGGCUGAAAUAUGCGACUGGCUGGUUGUGUUGUAACAAGACUGCUCCAAUCCCUGUACCAGAAGCGUCACAUUCUAUAACAAAAGUUAGAUCAAAAUUCGGUAGAAUCAGGAUUGGAGUAGAUGUCAAGGCCGCCUUUAACUUCUGGAAUGCAUCGAUAGCGUGAUCAGUCCAGUGGAAGUUGUUUUUACGCAGCAUAGCAGUGAGGGGGGCAACAAUGAUGCCGUAAUUCUGCACAAACUUGCGAUAAUAACCUGUGAGCCCUAGGAAUCCACGCAACCCACGAAUGGUGUUGGGCUUUGGCCAUUCCAAUACAGCAGCAAUUUUGGACUGAUCCACCUGCACUCCUUGGGAAGAAAUAAUAUGACCCAAAUAGGAAAUCUGAGAUUGACCGAAGACACACUUCGACCGUUUGAGGACCAAUUGGUUCUGUAACAGCAAUUGGAAAACCAGCCGCAAAUGGUGGAUGUGUUCUGCCCAGGAUUGACUGAAAACCAAAAUAUCGUCAAAAAAGACGAGUACAAAUUUCCGUAAGUAAAGUUGGAAUACCUCGUUCCUUAGGGCCUGAAAAGUUGAGGGAGCGUUGGAUAAUCCAAACGGCAUCACCAGGAAUUCAAAGUGUCCGUGGUGAGUGCGGAAUGCUGUUUUCUCAAUAUCAGCAGGAUGCAUCCCCACCGGAAAGUAACCCGAAAGCAGAUCUAACUUUGAGAAGAACUUAGCUCCACCCAAUUCCUCCAAUAAUUCGUCGAUAAUCGGAAUAGGGAAUUUGUCUUUGAUGGUUUUGGCAUUUAAUUCUCUGUAAUCAACACAAAGGCGCCAAGAACCAUCAGCUUUGGGAACCAAAAUCACCGGCGACGAGAAUGGGGAACGGCUGGGACGGAUGAUUCCCUGCUGUAACAUUGCAGCGCAUUGCUUUUCAAUCUCGUCCUUCUGACCAUGAGGGUAACGGUAUGGUCGAACUACCACAGGACCAGCUCCAUGGAUUAGGGGAAUACGAUGAUCACAAGAUCUGCUAGGGGGCAGCCCAGUAGGAGCAUUGAAUAAGGAAGCAAAUUCCGCCAAUAAUUUCUGGAGUUGGAUGUCUGGGACAGAUGAAAUCUGCAUGUUGUUCAGAUCUGAAUCGUGGGAAGAGCUUGAAGAAGUAAUACCCUGCAAUGUCACUAAGUGGCCCUAUUGAUAAAAGCUCAUGCUCAUAACGGUGAAAUCCCACAGAAUGGGUCCCAAGGUUCGAAGCCAAUUAACCCCCAAAACCAUAUCGAAAUUGGUUAAGGGUAAAACAAACAAAUCAACCAUGAAAGAAUUAGACUUCAGAAGAACCGGAAUUCCCUUACAAAUACCUGGGCUAGUAAGUUGCUCGCCAUUGGCAACUUGUACCUUUAAACCAUUCUGUUUGUUUACCACAGCAUUCAGUUCCUCAACCUUUGCGGCAGAAACAAAACUGUGAGUGCUGCCGGAGUCGAUGAGGAUCAAGACUUGCCCAAGCAUCCAGCUGCCUAUGAACCUCAUGGACUGAGGAUUUCGAAUUCUAGUAAUGGCAUUCAAAGAAAUUUUUGGAUCAGCUGUGAAAUCCUCUACAUCUUCCGUCUCUUCCAAAUCAAUCCAGAACAAUUUCUUACAUUGAUGGCCUCGAACAAACUGCUCAUCACAAUUAAAACAGAGUCCUUUCUUCUGCCUCUCCUCCAUUUCAUCAUGCGACAGCCUCCUCAGUAUCCGAUUGGCGCGGUUGUCAGGUGGAAUUGCAGCGCGACAAGUAUCUCUCGCAGCUGAAGAACGUGGAAACAGUUUGCGUUCAUACAGCUGAGAAAUGCUCAUAGCAUUAACCAAAUCGGUGGGAUGGUGAAGCUCCACUUCAACCGCAAUGGAGUCUUGUAAACCACUAAGGUAUAAUUGGACCUUCUGGUGUUGAGUGAGAGUUCCAGCCCGGGACACGAGUCUCAAACUGAUUCUGGUAGUCCGCGACAGACCCCGUUUGCUUCAGUUUAGCUAAUUCACCAAGUUUGUUGCUGCGGAUUGGAGGCCCAAAACGGAGGUUACAUUGGUGAGAAAACUCAGCCCAAGAGGGAUUCGGAAUGUCAUCCAGCAACUGCAUGUACCAAAGUUGGGCAAUUCCUUCGAGAUGGUAUGAAGCUGAACUAACCAUCUCUUCUUCCGGAGUUUGUUGGUGCCGAAAGAAGUGUUUGCAACGAUUUAGCCAUCCUAAAGGGUCAUCUUUCCCAUCAUAGCGAGGAAAAUCCAGUUUUGUGAAUUUCGGUACAAAUGAGCUUCCUCCAGAUUUUUCAGAAUUCGCAGUACCCGAAAUUCCCCUAUCUCUCCGUAAGCUUGCUGGACUUCCAGCGCUANNNNNNNNNNNNNNNNNNNNNNNNNNNNNNNNNNNNNNNNNNNNNNNNNNNNNNNNNNNNNNNNNNNNNNNNNNNNNNNNNNNNNNNNNNNNUGUUAUGGUCCCGGCUAACGGAUCUAGUUAUGGGUCGAUGGGUAGUAGGAGGGGUUGGUGUUUGGGUGUUUGGGUUAGGGUGUUUCCUUGAGCGACCUAUGGUGGAAGACAAGAAAAGUCAGACUCGUUAAAGGGAGCCUGAAACCUCAGUCAAGAAGACUUAAAUUGGGUUUUAACAGUCUGCCUUAUUCCAUCAGAUUUGCUGAAUAUAUACAAGUGCAGAAAUGACUACUCCCUACAUACAAGGAGCACUACUUCUAUAUGGAGGAAUAACCUCCCACUAACAACAAGAAAAUAGGGAAAUGGAGGAAUACCCUCCUACAAUGCAGGAAUGUUGAAACAGAAUCAAAACAGAAAGAGAACAACUACUGCUGACUAAUUCAGCAACUCAAUUACUGGUGACUUGGACUUAGGACCAUGGGUAUAACGGGAAUAUACUUGCAGGGGUUUGGUAACAGAAUUUUUAUGGACAGCUCUGAAAUUCAAUUCAGGUUUGUUCAAAAUCAAAUACUUGUGGAAUGAGAGGAAUUAGGGUAUUCAUAUUAGCAAAUUAAGAUAAACUAUUGUUAUAGGGAUUGAAAGUAUGGGACCCAAAACAAGAACUACCUUGGUGAUGUGGACAGUAUGUGAACAGAUGAACACUAUAAGAACACUCUUCGCA
rnacentral:lncRNA from 1 species